rnacentral:rRNA from 1 species
ACCAGACUUGCCCUCCAAUAGAUCCUCGUUAAAGGAUUUAAAUUGUACCCAUUCCGAUGACAGACCUCGAAGAGGACUGUCUCGUUAUUUUUCGUCACUACCUCUCCGUUCUGGAAGUGGGUAAUUUGCGCGCCUGCUGCCUUCCUUGGAUGUGGUAGCCGUUUCUCAGGCUCCCUCUCCGGAGUCGAACCCUUAUUCUCCGUUACCCGUUACUACCAUGGUAGGCGUAUAACCUACCAUCGAAAGUUGAUAAGGCAGACACUUGAAAGAUACAUCGCCAGUACUAGGACUGUGCGAUUGGCAAAGUUAUUCAGAUUCACCAAAUUACGGGCCGAAACCCGAUUGGUUUUUAUUCUAAUAAAUGCGCUCGUUCCUUGCGGGCGGAGCUUUUUUGCAUGUAUUAGCUCUAGAAUUGCCACAGUUAUCCAAGUAGGAUAACUAUAUUCUAGUAAACGGUGGCUGUUGUAAUGAGCUAUUCGCGGCUUCACCGUAUUAAGGCAUGUGCUUAGACAUGCAUGGCUUAAUCUUUGAGACAAGCAUAUGACUACUGGCAGGAUCAACCAG